UUUGCCUUGCUGACAGCUUUGCACGCUCUUGGCAUUCUCUCAACCAGCUUCACCUGGAAUGCUUCCCCAACAGUCUUGAAGGAGAUCCCAAAAAUACUUAGCACUUUUUGGAUGCUUUUCCUUAAUUCUGAGGUCCAACUCAUCCCAAACCAUCUCAAUUGGGUUGAGGUCAGGUGAUUGUGGAGGCCAGGUCAUCUGAUGCAGCACUCCAUCACUCUCCUUCUUGGUCAAAUAGCCCUUACACAGCCUGGAGGUGUGUUGGACCAUUGUCCUGUUGAAGAACAAAUUAUAGUCCCACUAAGUGCAAAUCAGAUUGGAUUUUAGUAUCGCUGCAGAAUGCUGUGGUAGCCAUGCUGGUUAAGUGUGCCUUGAAUUCUAACUAAAUCACAGACAGUGUCACCAGCAAGGCUCCCCCACACCAUCACACCUCCUCCUCCAUGCUUCACAGUGGGAACCACACAUGUGGAGAUCAUCUGUUCACCUACUCUGCAUCUCACAAAGACACGGCAGUUGGAACUAAAAAUCUCAUCAGACCUACGGAGAGAUUUUCACUGGUCUAAUGUCAAUUUGUUGUGUUUCUUGGCCCAAGCAAGUCUUUUCUUCUUAUUGGUGUCCUUUAGUAGUGUUAUUUUGCAGCAAUUUGACCAUGAGGGCCAGAUUCACGCAGUCUCCUCUGAACAGUUGAUGUUGAGAUGUGUCUGUUACUUGAUGUUACGUUCCCCAAUUUCUGUGAUGUUUUGGGUUUGUAUGUGUGUAUUUCAGGAAAUGGCUUCUUGGAUUCUAAACAGCCGAUUGGUCGGUCCAAAUUGCAAUUUGGAGCUUUGACCCCGCCCUCUCGUCAGGGGAUACAGCUGUCUGCAAUUACCUACUCCUUCUGCAGCUUGAAAAGCCAGUGUUCCUUUGUUAGGAGAGAGCUUAUUUGUGUGUUGGUUUGUUGUGAAGUAUUUUGUAGCUGGUCCUGCAGAGGUUAAACCUGGGCGGUUCACCCCCUGUACUUUGGUUGGCGCGCCAGGUAGUAAGAAUAUGUGACUACCUCAUGAAGCUGGUUGAGAGCAUGUCAAGGCAAAAGUGCCCUACUUUUGACUAAGGCUCCGGUCAAACGUAGAGCACAACAAAGGAAAUAAGUUGCCAUAACCAUGGUUACAGGACGUACCAUGUCUUCAAGAUGGAUUAUUCUCAGGGUGUAGGUGGGCUUGACCCUGCUUCCUCCAGGUUGUGUUGGUUGAAGGAACUCAUGUCGUACUCCCAGACCAUCCUGCUGGGGCUCUCUACUGGACCAUAAAGUACGAACUUUAUGAACAUUACUACUAGGUUAUGUCCCAAAUGGCACCAUAUUCCCCAUUUAGUGCACAAUGUUUGACCAGGACUCAUAGGGUUCUACUCAAAAGUAAUGCCUUGUAUAGGUGUCACGUCUACUCCCGGGUGCUCGACAUCAUCAAAUCAAAUGUAUUUAUAUAGCCCUUUGUACAUCAGCUGAUAUCUCAAAAUGCUGUACAGAAACCCAGCCUAAAACCCCAAACAGAGGGGUCACCUUCAACAUGCGGUGUGCAUACAGAUACAUACACAGCAGUGGAGGCUUUUGAGGGGAGGACAGCUUAUAAUAAUGGCUGGAGCAACUGGAAUUGCAAAUGCAUGGAAACCGUAUGUUUGAUAUAUUUGAUACCAUUCUGCUCCAUCCAUUAUCACAAGCCUGUCUUCUCCAAUGAAGAUGUCACCUACCUCCUGUGAUACACAGUAAAUGGCUAAAUAACAAUGAGCAUAAUAAGGUAACAGUUACUAAAUGGUAAUUAUUGUGUGUUUCUGUAAGUGAAAACAACAUGGUGAACAAAAACUAAUCAAGUACCUGUCUGUUUCAAUAAGCCAGUCGCAGUAUGCUGAGUAAUGGGACAAGACCAGAUUUAUCAAUCACACCACUCAAUGAAAAUGUAUUAAAUGUGCAUUAGAACUUCUGCUUUUGAGAGGUGGACCACACAGGUGGUUGUACUCGGGAUACCUACAAUCAGUGGUGCAACUUUCAUUGUGGGUGGGGGGGGACACCCCACAUUCUGAAAUUAGAUGGUUGUCAGUUUUAUACUUGGAAUGUGAUACAAAAUGAGGCAAUGCUGUGGCUUAGGAUCAUGUGGACGCCUCCGAGCGGCAGGUAGGCUGUUUGGAGUGUUUGUCCGGAAAAAAGAAUACUUCUAAUACCAACGUUGCACUCCUGUCUCCAACACAUUAACACAACACAGAGACUUGAUAACUGUGAAGGCACACUGCUAUUGGUGUGGGACUAUGGAGACAGCAGGUGCUCUGUCCUGUCUCUCCAUCUCCUGGCACAAAAAUGAACCAGCAUGGCAGUGCAAACAGGUAGAUGUGUGGUGCAUUAUCCAGAGCAACACCUAUUCAUUAAAAUGGACUAAUCGGCUUAUUGGCUACCAUAAAUAAUAUUAAUUUAAUAGAUGCACCUUUACCCUGUUACACUACCUAUUUCAGGGACUGGCAUACUCAUACAGUAUAGGUGUAAAAAAAAAAAACGCAAAAACAAGUUUGGAUUUAUGUGAUACUCAGUUGAUGGAUAUAUUUAAAUUGUUUAAGAAAUAAGGCAGUUCCUCUUCAGGUCUUGAUGGUCACACAUCUCAUCUUGUCAAACCACCGAUACAGUUAUGAUGUAUAUAGUGCUAUUUCUAUUGCUAUUUUUUUAUGACUAUUCUCAUGAUUUUAUUUCACUUAGUCCUGAAUGAUUUUCACUGUACCCUGCAAUCACAACUGCAACCCUGUAUAUGUGACUAUUAAACACUGAAUCUCCAAAUGUCCCUAGGUGGAACACUGCUGUUGCCCUUUUGCUUAAAAACAUUUGUUUCAAGCAGGCUACAAAGUUGUGGAA